UUUUUCUUUGGCUGCUCAAGAGCUGAACCAUUGCAUUGAUUAUGAUCUCCCCUUUGGUUAUUGUUGUUUUAUGAAGAGAAGAUCGAUUAUAUAUACAUAAAUGCCUCUAUGUGUCUAGGUUUUUGUUUUGUGGUUGUUGACAUCAAAGGUUUUGCUGAACAUUUUGAGGGUAUUGAAUGAUGGGCUAGUUCUCUAGCUUGGCCGGUGUCUUUCAGAUUCGAGAAGGAUUAUUGAACAACUUUAGUUUGAAUCCCACCUUGAAUCAUUUUUGAAAAUGGUUAUUCAUGAAGAUGAUCUGUGAGAACAGUAAUGGUUAAAAAACGAUGGUGCCUUUUGGCUUAUCUUUUUAAUGGUACGAGGCCGAAUCAAGCAUUGGUUCAGCAUGAAUUGUUGUGUUUACAUUGCAUACACGAAUGAGGCUUAAUUGAUGUCAAAUGUCAAACCAAAUGCCUUGUUCACUGUAUCCAUAGAGUAGUUAAGAGUAUUUUCCAUGACCAUGAGGUCUCCCUAAGGAUGCUUAGUGUGAUUUUCAGUCCAACCCUGUUGAGCCAGUGAGAUGUGCAUCGGAUAUUACAUCCCCUGUUGUCAAUGGAGGUAAAGGACUAAUGAUAAAAUUUUGUGCUUAUUGACAGAUGUGCCUUGAAUUGUUAUGAUUGUAUAUGUGGAUUUGUUUGCUGUAUGGCUUGUGUUUGGACUCUUCUUGUUAACCGCGUUGGAUUGUACACAUACCAUACCUGGGUGAUGCUGCAAUCAGCCACCAAAGGGGAUUUGAGGGCUUUUUCCUUUUAACCCCAUGGUGACCUCUUCUCUUUUGUUUGUGAAAGAAUGGCUGCAGCUUAUAUGGCCCACCUGCUUCUUUUCCUUGGAUUUUCAAAAAAUUUAGAAAUUUCUUUCACAUAAUAACUCUAAUGUCCUUUAGUAUAUGAAAACUUUAUUUUCUAUAAGCCUACAACCACCCUGUCCCCUGUUCAUACCUGUGGAACAGUUAGGAGAACCAAACUCUCCCCUGUUCAUACCAAAGGGAUAAUUAGGAGAACCAAAUUAUCAUAGUUCAUAUUGCUUUUGUUUGUUUGCUUUAAUGGUGAAAUUUUGCGGGGAAGAAAGGUGUCCAUGAGGGUCUUUGAAUUGUAUCUGAUCAUUAUUGUGUUUGGCACUGUGAUCUUCUUGUCUCCAUUUAGAGAUCGGUCUCAUACAGCUAUUUAUGUACAAUGUGUUCAAUAACCCUGGUCUCUGGGUUUAAAAGACAGUUUUAUCAUGCAUGUGAAGAUAUAACAAAAGAAGGUAGAAUAACCAUUACAAAGAUCAUUUUCUAUGAUCAUGGGAAAAUAGUAAUAAAAAUCCGAAAUGAUUAUAUCACAUGAAAGUAAAUGCAAGGGAAGUGCACCUUAGUCUGUACAGAACAUGGAUGAGUUUUGAAUAUAGAUUUUGAACAUUUCAGAGGAAGAUGAUAUUCUUCUACAACACCAAUGAAGGGUCAUGUAAUUCUCCCAGAAAAGGAAGAGAGCUUUAAAAGGGAAAACGAUUAUGAUUGUCAUAGAGUAGAGUCUGAUCAAUAAAUGGACAUUAACAUCCAUGGCUUCAGUAGGAAUUCAUAAGGGUUUCUAUCAAUACAAGAGUUGAGAACUUGCCAAAGGGGAAAAAAAUAAUAGAGACUUUAUGGCAUUGGUUGGGGUUGGAUGGAUGAAUAAUAGU
rnacentral:lncRNA from 1 species